rnacentral:rRNA from 1 species
AUUGAACGCUGGCGGCAGGCUUAACACAUGCAAGUCGAACGGUAACAGGAGAAAGCUUGCUUUCUUGCUGACGAGUGGCGGACGGGUGAGUAAUGCUUGGGAAUCUGGCUUAUGGAGGGGGAUAACGACGGGAAACUGUCGCUAAUACCGCGUAGAGUCGAGAGACGAAAGUGCGGGACCGCAAGGCCGCAUGCCAUAGGAUGAGCCCAAGUGGGAUUAGGUAGUUGGUGGGGUAAAGGCCUACCAAGCCGACGAUCUCUAGCUGGUCUGAGAGGAUGACCAGCCACACCGGGACUGAGACACGGCCCGGACUCCUACGGGAGGCAGCAGUGGGGAAUAUUGCGCAAUGGGGGCAACCCUGACGCAGCCAUGCCGCGUGAAUGAAGAAGGCCUUCGGGUUGUAAAGUUCUUUCGGUAUUGAGGAAGGUUGUUGUGUUAAUAGCACGACAAAUGACGUNA